rnacentral:snRNA from 13 species
AAGCCGUGUGGUCAGCGCAAAACGAACUAUUCUUUCGCCUUUUACUAAAGAAUACCGUGUGUUGGCCACAUAAUAGCGGCAUAUCCAAAUUUUUGGAACGCUUCCUCACGGAGGCAC